GUUUGAUCCUGGCUCAGUAAACUCAAAUGAAUUGACGGGGCUAGAGUUUGAUCCUGGCUCAGGAUGAACGCUAGCGGCAGGCCUAACACAUGCAAGUCGAGGGGUAACAUUGUAGCUUGCUACAGAUGACGACCGGCGCACGGGUGCGUAACGCGUAUACAAUCUACCUUUUGCUGAGGGAUAGCCCAGNGAAAUUUGGAUUAAUACCUCAUAGUAUGUUGACCUCGCAUGAGGACAAUAUUAAAGGUUACGGCAAAAGAUGAGUAUGCGUUCUAUUAGCUAGAUGGUGUGGUAACGGCACGCCAUGGCGACGAUAGAUAGGGGCCCUGAGAGGGGGAUCCCCCACACUGGUACUGAGACACGGACCAGACUCCUACGGGAGGCAGCAGUGAGGAAUAUUGGACAAUGGAGGCAACUCUGAUCCAGCCAUGCCGCGUGCAGGAAGACUGCCCUAUGGGUUGUAAACUGCUUUUAUACAGGAAGAAACACUCUCACGUGUGAGAGCUUGACGGUACUGUAAGAAUAAGGAUCGGCUAACUCCGUGCCAGCAGCCGCGGUAAUAAGGGCGAAUU
rnacentral:rRNA from 1 species